rnacentral:rRNA from 1 species
AUACGUAGGGGGCGAGCGUUGUCCGGAAUGAUUGGGCGUAAAGGGCGCGUAGGCGGCCCGGUAAGUCUGGAGUGAAAGUCCUGUUUUUAAGCUGGGAAUUGCUUUGGAUACUGUCGGGCUUGAGUGCAGGAGAGGUAAGUGGAAUUCCCAGUGUAGCGGUGAAAUGCGUAGAGAUUGGGAGGAACACCAGUGGCGAAGGCGACUUACUGGACUGUAACUGACGCUGAGGCGCGAAAGUGUGGGGAGCAAACAGGAUUAGAUACCCUGGUAGUCCACACUGUAAACGAUGAAUGCUAGGUGUAGGGGGUAUCGACCCCUUCUGUGCCGCAGUCAACACAAUAAGCAUUCCGCCUGGGGAGUACGGCCGCAAGGUUGAAACUUAAAGGAAUUGGCGGGG